AGUGAACGCUGGCGGUAGGCCUAACACAUGCAAGUCGAACGGAAGCACAGUAAGCGUUCGCCUUUACGGUUGGCGGGGGGCGGGCGGGUAAGAAAUAGAUCGGAUACUACUAUUACUGGGGGAAUAUCGUGGGAAAAGUUCCGAUAAUACCGAAUAUAACCAACGGCAUAAAUCAGGGGUGCUUGGCACUUUGGCCGUUUCAUAGAGCUGAAGCCGGGUCGCCUUAGCUAGUUGGUAAGGGACCGGCUUGCCAAGGCGACGAUGCGGAGCCGACCUGAGGGGGUGAUCGGCCACACUGGAACUGAGACACGGUCCAGACUCCUACGGGAGGCAGCAGUAGGGAAUCUUCCGCAAUGGGCGAAAGCCUGACGGAGCAACGCCGCGUGAGUGAUGAAGGUCUUCGGAUCGUAAAACUCUGUUAUUAGGGAAGAACAAAUGUGUAAGUAACUAUGCACGUCUUGACGGUACCUAAUCAGAAAGCCACGGCUAACUACGUG
rnacentral:rRNA from 1 species